rnacentral:rRNA from 1 species
GGGGAAUAUUGGACAAUGGAGGUAACUCUGAUCCAGCAAUUCUGUGUGCACGAAGAAGGUUUUCGGAUUGUAAAGUGCUUUCAGUAGGGAAGAAGAAAGUGACGGUACCUACAGAAGAAGCGACGGCUAAAUACGUGCCAGCAGCCGCGGUAAUACGUAUGUCGCAAGCGUUAUCCGGAAUUAUUGGGCUUAAAGGGCAUCUAGGCGGUUUUUCAAGUCAGGGGUGAAAACUUAUGGCUCAACUAUAAGCUUGCCUUUGAAACUGAAAGACUAGAGUACUGGAAAGGUGGGUGGAACUACACGAGUAGAGGUGAAAUUCGUAGAUAUGUGUAGGAAUGCCGAUGAUGAAGAUAACUCACUGGACAGAAACUGACGCUGAAGUGCGAAAGCUAGGGGAGCAAACAGGAUUAGAUACCCUGGUAGUCCUAGCUGUAAACGAUGAUCACUGGGUGUGGGGAUGAAUAGUCUCUGUGCCGAAGCAAAAGCGAUAAGUGAUCCGCCUGGGGAGUACGUACGCAAGUAUG